GACGAACGCUGGCGGCGUGCUUAACACAUGCAAGUCGAACGGAAAGGCCCUGCUUUUGUGGGGUGCUCGAGUGGCGAACGGGUGAGUAACACGUGAGUAACCUGCCCUUGACUUUGGGAUAACUUCAGGAAACUGGGGCUAAUACCGGAUAGGAGCUCCUGCUGCAUGGUGGGGGUUGGAAAGUUUCGGCGGUUGGGGAUGGACUCGCGGCUUAUCAGCUUGUUGGUGGGGUAGUGGCUUACCAAGGCUUUGACGGGUAGCCGGCCUGAGAGGGUGACCGGCCACAUUGGGACUGAGAUACGGCCCAGACUCCUACGGGAGGCAGCAGUGGGGAAUAUUGCACAAUGGGUGGAAGCCUGAUGCAGCAACGCCGUGUGCGGGAUGACGGCCUUCGGGUUGUAAACCGCUUUCGCUCAUGACGAAGCUUUGUGUGACGGUAGUGGGUAAAGAAGCACCGGCUAACUACGU
rnacentral:rRNA from 1 species